GGGUUGUGAGGUUAAGCGACUAAGCGUACACGGUGGAUGCCCUGGCAGUCAGAGGCGAUGAAGGACGUGCUAAUCUGCGAUAAGCGUCGGUAAGGUGAUAUGAACCGUUAUAACCGGCGAUUUCCGAAUGGGGAAACCCAGUGUGAUUCGUCACACUAUCAUUAACUGAAUCCAUAGGUUAAUGAGGCGAACCGGGGGAACUGAAACAUCUAAGUACCCCGAGGAAAAGAAAUCAACCGAGAUUCCCCCAGUAGCGGCGAGCGAACGGGGAGCAGCCCAGAGCCUGAAUCAGUGUGUGUGUUAGUGGAAGCGUCUGGAAAGGCGCGCGAUACAGGGUGACAGCCCCGUACACAAAAAUGCACAUGCUGUGAGCUCGAUGAGUAGGGCGGGACACGUGGUAUCCUGUCUGAAUAUGGGGGGACCAUCCUCCAAGGCUAAAUACUCCUGACUGACCGAUAGUGAACCAGUACCGUGAGGGAAAGGCGAAAAGAACCCCGGCGAGGGGAGUGAAAAAGAACCUGAAACCGUGUACGUACAAGCAGUGGGAGCACGCUUAGGCGUGUGACUGCGUACCUUUUGUAUAAUGGGUCAGCGACUUAUAUUCUGUAGCAAGGUUAACCGAAUAGGGGAGCCGAAGGGAAACCGAGUCUUAACUGGGCGUUAAGUUGCAGGGUAUAGACCCGAAACCCGGUGAUCUAGCCAUGGGCAGGUUGAAGGUUGGGUAACACUAACUGGAGGACCGAACCGACUAAUGUUGAAAAAUUAGCGGAUGACUUGUGGCUGGGGGUGAAAGGCCAAUCAAACCGGGAGAUAGCUGGUUCUCCCCGAAAGCUAUUUAGGUAGCGCCUCGUGAAUUCAUCUCCGGGGGUAGAGCACUGUUUCGGCAAGGGGGUCAUCCCGACUUACCAACCCGAUGCAAACUGCGAAUACCGGAGAAUGUUAUCACGGGAGACACACGGCGGGUGCUAACGUCCGUCGUGAAGAGGGAAACAACCCAGACCGCCAGCUAAGGUCCCAAAGUCAUGGUUAAGUGGGAAACGAUGUGGGAAGGCCCAGACAGCCAGGAUGUUGGCUUAGAAGCAGCCAUCAUUUAAAGAAAGCGUAAUAGCUCACUGGUCGAGUCGGCCUGCGCGGAAGAUGUAACGGGGCUAAACCAUGCACCGAAGCUGCGGCAGCGACACUGUGUGUUGUUGGGUAGGGGAGCGUUCUGUAAGCCUGCGAAGGUGUGCUGUGAGGCAUGCUGGAGGUAUCAGAAGUGCGAAUGCUGACAUAAGUAACGAUAAAGCGGGUGAAAAGCCCGCUCGCCGGAAGACCAAGGGUUCCUGUCCAACGUUAAUCGGGGCAGGGUGAGUCGACCCCUAAGGCGAGGCCGAAAGGCGUAGUCGAUGGGAAACAGGUUAAUAUUCCUGUACUUGGUGUUACUGCGAAGGGGGGACGGAGAAGGCUAUGUUGGCCGGGCGACGGUUGUCCCGGUUUAAGCGUGUAGGCUGGUUUUCCAGGCAAAUCCGGAAAAUCAAGGCUGAGGCGUGAUGACGAGGCACUACGGUGCUGAAGCAACAAAUGCCCUGCUUCCAGGAAAAGCCUCUAAGCAUCAGGUAACAUCAAAUCGUACCCCAAACCGACACAGGUGGUCAGGUAGAGAAUACCAAGGCGCUUGAGAGAACUCGGGUGAAGGAACUAGGCAAAAUGGUGCCGUAACUUCGGGAGAAGGCACGCUGAUAUGUAGGUGAAGUCCCUCGCGGAUGGAGCUGAAAUCAGUCGAAGAUACCAGCUGGCUGCAACUGUUUAUUAAAAACACAGCACUGUGCAAACACGAAAGUGGACGUAUACGGUGUGACGCCUGCCCGGUGCCGGAAGGUUAAUUGAUGGGGUCAGCGCAAGCGAAGCUCUUGAUCGAAGCCCCGGUAAACGGCGGCCGUAACUAUAACGGUCCUAAGGUAGCGAAAUUCCUUGUCGGGUAAGUUCCGACCUGCACGAAUGGCGUAAUGAUGGCCAGGCUGUCUCCACCCGAGACUCAGUGAAAUUGAACUCGCUGUGAAGAUGCAGUGUACCCGCGGCAAGACGGAAAGACCCCGUGAACCUUUACUAUAGCUUGACACUGAACAUUGAGCCUUGAUGUGUAGGAUAGGUGGGAGGCUUUGAAGUGUGGACGCCAGUCUGCAUGGAGCCGACCUUGAAAUACCACCCUUUAAUGUUUGAUGUUCUAACGUGGACCCGUGAUCCGGGUUGCGGACAGUGUCUGGUGGGUAGUUUGACUGGGGCGGUCUCCUCCUAAAGAGUAACGGAGGAGCACGAAGGUUGGCUAAUCCUGGUCGGACAUCAGGAGGUUAGUGCAAUGGCAUAAGCCAGCUUGACUGCGAGCGUGACGGCGCGAGCAGGUGCGAAAGCAGGUCAUAGUGAUCCGGUGGUUCUGAAUGGAAGGGCCAUCGCUCAACGGAUAAAAGGUACUCCGGGGAUAACAGGCUGAUACCGCCCAAGAGUUCAUAUCGACGGCGGUGUUUGGCACCUCGAUGUCGGCUCAUCACAUCCUGGGGCUGAAGUAGGUCCCAAGGGUAUGGCUGUUCGCCAUUUAAAGUGGUACGCGAGCUGGGUUUAGAACGUCGUGAGACAGUUCGGUCCCUAUCUGCCGUGGGCGCUGGAGAACUGAGGGGGGCUGCUCCUAGUACGAGAGGACCGGAGUGGACGCAUCACUGGUGUUCGGGUUGUCAUGCCAAUGGCACUGCCCGGUAGCUAAAUGCGGAAGAGAUAAGUGCUGAAAGCAUCUAAGCACGAAACUUGCCCCGAGAUGAGUUCUCCCUGACUCCUUGAGAGUCCUGAAGGAACGUUGAAGACGACGACGUUGAUAGGCCGGGUGUGUAAGCGCAGCGAUGCGUUGAGCUAACCGGUACUAAUGAACCGUGAGGCUUAACCUUACAACGCCGAAG
rnacentral:rRNA from 1 species